rnacentral:rRNA from 1 species
CCUACGGGUGGCAGCAGUGAGGAAUAUUGGUCAAUGAGCGCGAGCCUGAACCAGCCAAGUAGCGUGAAGGAUGACUGCCCUACGGGUUGUAAACUUCUUUUAUAAAGGAAUAAAGUGUUGCACGUGUGCCUUUUUGUAUGUACUUUAUGAAUAAGGAUCGGCUAACUCCGUGCCAGCAGCCGCGGUAAUACGGAGGAUCCGAGCGUUAUCCGGAUUUAUUGGGUUUAAAGGGAGCGUAGGUGGGUUGUUAAGUCAGUUGUGAAAGUUUGCGGCUCAACCGUAAAAUUGCACUUGAUACUGGCAGCCUUGAGUACAGUAGAGGUAGGCGGAAUUCGUGGUGUAGCGGUGAAAUGCUUAGAUAUCACGAAGAACUCCGAUUGCGAAGGCAGCUUACUAGACUGCCACUGACACUGAGGCUCGAAAGUGUGGGUAUCAAACAGGAUUAGAUACCCCGGUAGUC